rnacentral:lncRNA from 1 species
UUAAAAAUCAAAUUUGUUUGAUUUCUUUUUCCGCUGCGUUUUUACUGUACACAAUUUUCUAACAAGUCUAUUUCUACUUCUCCCGGUGCUCUAACAUUCUCCCUCUCUUUGUCUUUCUCCUUUUCUUUCUCUUCUUGUCUUUUCCUUUCCUGCUCUAUCCUUUGUUCUUCUUCCUCCUUUUUCUUCUGUACUUCUUUCUUUUUUUCUUUCGUCCAUUUUCUUCUGUUUUUCGAUCUUUAUUUUUUUUCUUCUUUCCUCUCUCUCCUUCUGGCUAGCCUUCUUUUUCUUCUCUUCUUCUUCUUUUUUCUUAUCUCUUUCAACUUCUUUACCUAUUUCCACCUGUUUUCUCUCCGCUUUCUAUUUCUUGUCGAAGCGAGCUUCCUGGCGAGCUUACCUCCCGACAUCAGACAUCGCUUGCUCCAAAGAUGAAGCAAAGCGAGCAUGCAAAACCCUUCCCGAAGGUGCCUAUUUGACCAAAGGAGAUAGCAGAGGUGAUCCAAUUGGAGAAUGAGAAGAAGAAGAAUCAAUCAGGAUAGAUUGAGGAUUUACCUCAACUGAUACUAGGUCGAUAGGAGUAGAUUGAACGGAUCCACUCCCUUGGCUAAAGUGUCAAUCGGUGGGAUUUCCGUCGAGGAUAUAUCUUCAGUCGGCAUAGGGGGAGAGAGAGGACGAAUUUUGAUUGCAACAGUUUUUGCGCCGCUUCUACUGCGGCUGUUGGGUUGGUUGAUCAGCCUUUAUCAGCCGCUUGUCAGGAUGUUGGGCCGAUGAAGUAGAAGCAGAACUAACUGAAAAGGAUAUGUUAGUCGAGAAAAUAUUUGGUAAAAGAAUGUAUACUGAGGAACAGGAUUUACCGUUGAUAAGCGAGGCGAAUCCCCAAGAUCUUCGUCUGAAGUUUUGCCCGAACCUUCUUGUUCUGGGAAAUCGGGUAAAGAUUCCUUAUCUAUAGAAUCAAUUAAAAAUAGAAUAAAUCAACAAAGGAAAGAAAGAAGAACGAAAU